AUGUUAGGAGAGCCCUAUUUCUUCUCACAGAGCUACAAUUCCCAGAGUUCCCUGGGAAGAGAGGUUGUUAAACCCGUCUGGGAAUUGUAGCUCUGUGAGGGGAAAUAGGGCUCUCCUGACAA